rnacentral:rRNA from 1 species
CCUACGGGUGGCAGCAGUGAGGAAUAUUGGUCAAUGGGCGCGAGCCUGAACCAGCCAAGUCGCGUGAGGGACGACGGUCCUAUGGAUUGUAAACCUCUUUUGUCGGGGAGCCAAAGACGCCACGCGUGUCUUUCCGCGCGUACCCGACGAAAAAGCAUCGGCUAACUCCGUGCCAGCAGCCGCGGUAAUCCGGGGGAUGCGAGCGUUAUCCGGAUUUAUGGGGUUUAAAGGGUGCGAAGGCGGAAGAUCCAGUCAGCGGUAAAAUUGCGGGGCUCAACCUCUUCGAGCCGUUGAAACUGGUGGUCUGGAGUGAGCGAGAGGUAUGCGGAAUGCGUGGUGGAGCGGUGAAAUGCAUAGAUAUAACGCAGAACUCCGAUGGCGAAGGCAGCAUACCGGAGCGCAACUGACGCUGAGGCACGAAAGCGUGGGUAUCGAACAGGAUUAGAUACCCUGGUAGUC